GCGCCUGUAGCUCAGUGGAUAGAGCAUCUGUCUCCAUGCUGAAGGUCGUAGGUUCAACCCUCCCUGGCGCG
rnacentral:tRNA from 1 species